CCCGGCAGGUCGGUCCGUGAUGACUCGGAGCGGCGGCUCCCGCUCGGGGCUUGCGAGGGCCGGCUCCGUAGGUCGAAACUCAGCCGGGAAAACGGGGUGCGAUGGGUUAAAGCGCCCUCGGUUGCUUGUGAAGGUUGUGCGUUACCUGGGUUCCUGCGGUGUGUACUUCAUUGACCGUGUUUCGUGAACUGUGCUGUCAUGUACAAAGGCAACAUCCGAAGGUCAGGAGAAGAGCACCUGGAGCAGCACAAAGGAAUUUCAGCCAGCAUCAGCACCUAGUGUGGGGAAUAAAGAAGAAGAGUUACCUGCGUGCGCACACCUGCAGGGCUACAAUCUCGUUGGCAUCACAGAGACAUGGUGAGGUGGCUUCUGUGACUGCAGUGUUGGAAUGGAAAGACCAGACAGGCAGGGGAGAUGAGGAGGACGUGUCACCCUCUAUGUCAAUGACCAGCUGGAGUGUGUGGAGUACCAUCCCAUCUGGGGAUGGGAUGAAGAGCCAACCAAACUGAGAGCUUAUGGGUCACGGUUAAAGGCAGUGCAGGGACAGGUGACGUUACAGUGGCCUGCUGCAGGGCAAGUGCACGGUCCUGCACAUGGGUCUGGGCAAUCCCAAGCACAAAUAACAGGCUGGGCAGAGCAUGGAUUGAGAGCAGCCCUGACAAGAAGGGCUUGGGGGCACUGGUGGACAAGAAGCCUAAUGUGACCCAGCAGUAUGUGCUUGCAGCCCAGAAAGCCAAACAUAUCCAGAGCUGCAUCAAAAGAAGUGUGGCCAGCAGGCAGAGAGAGGCAAUUCUCCCUCCGCUUGGCUCUCAUGAGACCCCGCCUGGAGUUCUGCGUUCAGCUCUGGGGCCCGCAACAUAACAAGAACAUGGACAUGUUGGAGCGCAUCCAGAGGAGGGCCAUAAAGAUGAUCAGAGGGCUGCAACACCUCUCCUGUGAAGACCGGCUGUGAGAGAGUUGGGGCUGUUCAGCCUGGAGAAGAGAAGGCUCCGGGGGGACCUUGCAGCAGCCUUCCAGUACCUAAACAGGGCCUACAAGAAAGCUGGAGAGGGACUUUCUACAAGGGCAUGUAGUGAUAGGGCAAAGGGAAAUGGCUUUAAACUGAAGGAGGGUAAAUUUAAAUUAGAUAAAAGGAAAAAAUCCUUCACUAUGAGAGUGGUGAGGCGCUGGCACAGGCUGCCCAGAGCAGCUGUGGAUGCCCCAUCCCUGGCCGUGCUCAGGGCCAGGCUGGAUGGGGCUCUGCGCAACCUGGUCUCGUGGAAGGUGUCCCUGCCCAUGGCAGGGGGGUUGGAACUAGAUGGUCUUUAAGGUCCCUUCCAGUUCUAUGAUAUUCCCAACCUUUCCGUUAAAUGGCACUUACUGUUCACUGAUUGGUUGCAUAAGAAACAAGAAACGUAAGAAACCAAAACUAAUGACAAAAAAAUCCUUCUGUAUAAGAGCUUUGCAGAUUUGUACCAUGGGUGGAUCUAAAUUUCCUAUCAGGCCCAUUUGUAGGUAGGCUUUAGGAUAAACUCGGGUGUGAAUACACUCUUAGAGAUUGCUGCUACAAGCACAACAUGAGGUGGAUUUAGAGUGGGAUUUGAGGUAUUUUAACCCAGUCUCUUUGGUCUUUUUUUACACAAGUUUCUUGCAUAACUAAAUCUUUUAUGCAAGAUGUCUCCCUUUUGGUUAAAGGAGCUAUGGAUACUUCUAAUUACUAUUGCUUGUCCUCUCCUUGUUUGGACCUGUUAUCCUCAGACUGUCAGCAGGCAGCUAGUUCAAGACAAAACUGUUGUUUAAAUUGUCUUUGUGUAUACUUCAGUUAGAACAUGAUGCUAUUGUAAGAGCGUAAUGUCUACCACUGUGAAACAUUUAGACUCUUAUCGAGCAGGUUCAUUUUUUUGCAAACUGCAGAUGCCAGAUCUGUCAGCUCACACUAGAGCUGCACCUGAACGCACUGGUAGCAAGAAUCCUGUGUGAAGCAGGAGCUGUACAAUGUAAAUCCAGAACUCUGUAACAAGCCUUCUUCUGUUCAGCAGUUUGAGCUUGUAUCAGCCAUGUUCCUCAGUCCAACGGUUUGCUUAGAACCUGUUAAGACAAUCACACUUCUUUUUGCAGGAGGCUAAGAGCUUGCUCACUGCGUUCAGAUGAGUCACCAGUAACUUGAUCACCACGUAUGAAGCCUAAGGUAGCGUUUGGUGUGCAUUUCCAGCUGAUUUUAAUAUAUGAAAGGUUUUGUUACACAUGGAUGUAGAUGUUUUGAAACACUUUCAGAUUGUUGCGGUAGCUCCACCAUAAGUGGGUGUUUUUGGAAAAAGCACUAUGGGUGUAAUCAGAACUGCAGUUUGAAGGAGAAAGUUUGAAUGUAGACACACUGCUGUUGCUCAGAUCGUCCAGAAAAGAAAAAUAGCCUGAGGAAGGUAAAUGUAUUAGGACUUUAACCUGAAAAAAAAUAAAAAUCACUGCAAUAUUUGAAAAGCAUUACUGACUACAUAAAAGCAUGCAGUAUUGAGUCAAAUGCCAAGAGCUGCUGCAUGCAGUAUUGUUGCAGUUUAACCCAGCAGGCAGCUAACCACUACUCAGCCAUUCACUCACUCCCCCACCACUGGGACGGGGGAGAGAAUCAGAAAAAAGGUAAAAUAAAGGUGGUUUAGUAGGACAGAAAAGGAAGGGGAAAUCAAAGUAAUGACAGAAAAAUAUACAAAAAAAAUGAUGCAGAAUGCAGUUGCUCACCACCCGCUUUCCGAUGCCCGGCCAGUCCCUGAGCAGUGGGCCACCACCACCCGGCCAUCUCCCUCAUUUUACUGUUGGGCAUGAUGCCAUAUGGUAUGGAAUAUCCCUUUGGCCAGUUGGGCAUGACGACCCAUGGUAUGGAAUAUCCCUUCGGCUAGUUCUGGUCAGCUGUCCUGGCUGUGUCCC